rnacentral:piRNA from 1 species
UGACAUCAACAAAUUGGACUGUUUGGC